AUUUAGCAACCCGCUUCCCCCAAAAUUGAAAUUAAGCGUACUUGUUAUGAUAUGGUGGCUAAAUGGUUGGAAAUUUUGUCACCAUUUAAUUUUGGUGAUAAAUCCGUAGGAAAAAUACUAAACAAAAUUAAAAACAUAGAAAAUACAUUAGAAAUAAAAGGGCCUUUUUUAAUUGCCACCGUGUUAGUGGUGGCAAGAUGAAAAGUUAAAUUAAGGGGGUUAAUUUUUAGAGUCCCGCUCUUAAUUUCAAAUCGCUCGUAGCUUACAACUUACAUGGUGCUGUUGAUGCAGUUUUGAUAGCGUCGUCAACAAGCUUCAACUGAGAGCGAGCGAAUCAUGGGGGUUUUGAAAGAGCAGGUGGAAUCGACACUUAGGUCCAAACUGUCUCCUUCUCAUAUUGGUUUUGAUCUUUGAAAAAAACCCACUAGUGAUUACAGCCACCAAACCUCUUAAUUUCGAUCUCUGCAAUUCACGAUCUGAUUGAGGCUUUCGGCGAGUUAAUGGUUCAUUUGUUAGAGUUUAAUUCGAAGAUUUUUUGUUCUGUUAUCUAUCGGUGCCUUUGUCCCAUUUCUCCCCAAUUUCUCUUCUGCAUUCAACCUGUUUGUUGAAAUUCCCCAACCAACUUUCCCUUUUAUCAUUGCUCCAUAUGCUUGUUUUUUGAAGCUCUGAGUUUGUGUUUAUUUGAUUUGUGUGGGAUUGUUGUGACCAGAGCAGCAAAUUAUGGACCAAAAAACAUGGCUUUGGAAGAAAAGAUGUGCCCAGAAGUCGAUCGACGCAAACAGUGAAUCUGAAAAUGAGGCAGAGGUAUUCUAGUAGCUCAUUUACUUCAUUUGAUUAAAAAUAUUUUGUAAAUUAUACCAACCCUUUUUAUUAUUGUUUGUAAGUUAUUCUGUACAUUUGAUUAAAAAUAUUUUGUAAAUUAUUAAAUCUUAACAAAGAUGACGUAUUGCAAAAAAAGAAAAAGAAAACAUAUUGUAGUUUGCAAGUAUGAGUGCUUCUAGAUUAUUUGAUUUCGAGGAUUUGAGGAUUUGCUACGAGCUUCGGCGGAGGUUUUGGGAAAAGGGACGUUCGGGACUGCGUACAAGGCAGUGUUGGAGGGCGGGAUGAUGGUGGCGGUGAAGAGAUUGAAGGAUGUUACAGUGUCGGAGCCUGAGUUUAGGGAGAACAUUGAAUUUGUCUACGAUUAUAUGCCAAUGGGAAGUCUUUCUGCACUUCUUCAUGUAUCAGUCAGAUGAGGCGUGCAUGCGUACGGUGCAGUGUGGUGCUGCUGAUGAGGCGUGCGUGCGGUGUAGUCGCUGCUGCUGUGUGCGGCUUUUCUGCUGUGGUGUGCGUAGAAUACAGUGCUGCUGCUGAGGCGUUCGUGUGGUGCAGUCGCGACUGUUGCGUGUGGCGCUGCUGCUGCGACUGUUUGAUGAGCUUGAUUAACCGUUGGCAUUAACUUUUUAUCUUUCCUCUUAAUAAAUCAAUAAUCAUAGGGAGCUUGCAAAAGAUUUUGUGGUGGCUGGUACUACAUCAGAGUCUCUGAGUCUCUGUAUGGUGCCUGUGAGUCGAUGUUCAAGCCAGACAUGGUACAAGGUGGAUAAAGAUGCUAUGCUAGAUACGAUGUCACAAAUUGAAGCUACGUUAACAAGUAUAAUUUGAAGAUAGGCUACAAACACUUGGUUUUGAAUGUUUAUCGUAUUAGGAUUUUUUUAGUUAUUUGAUGUUUUAGCUGGUAUUUCAAUUAGAAUGUUUUAUACGCUUUCAAUACACAUAUGUUUUAUAUAAUUUUGGGUUUUCGUGAUCUUA